CAAAGGCUUGGUCCUGACUUUACCAUCCGCUUUGGCUCAAUUUAUACAUGCAAGUAUCCGCGCCCCCGUGAGAAUGCCCUCAACCCCUCUGACCGAGGGAGAGGAGCAGGCAUCAGGCACACAUAACUUCUGCCCAAGACGCCUUGCUACGCCACACCCCCAAGGGACUUCAGCAGUAAUAAAUAUUAAGCUAUGAGUGAAAACUCGACUUAGUUAAGGCUAUAAGGGUCGGUAAAAUUCGUGCCAGCCACCGCGGUUAUACGAAAGACCCUAGUUGAUGGAUCACGGCGAAAAGGGUGGUUAAGGGGCCCAAAAACUAAAGCUAAAAAUCCUCUUAGCUGUCAUACGCUUCCCGAAGACAUGAAGCCCAAUCACGAAAGUAGCUUUACACCACCCUGACACCACGAAAGCCAAGAAACAAACUGGGAUUAGAUACCCCACUAUGCUUGGCCCUAAACCAAGAUGCACUUUUCCAUAUGCAUCCGCCCGGGUACUCGAGCACAGCUUAAAACCCAAAGGACUUGGCGGUGUCUCAGACCCACCUAGAGGAGCCUGUUCUAGAACCGAUAACCCUCGUUUAACCUCACCACUCCUUGUUUUUUCCGCCUAUAUCCGCCCGUCGCCAGCUUACCCUGUGAAGGCUCAACAGUAAGCAAAAUGGGCAAACCCAAAAACGUCAGGUCAAGGUGUAGCAUACGGAGUGGGAAGAAAUGGGCUACAUUUUCUCACAGAAUAUUCGAAUGAUAUUUUGAAAAAAAUGUCUGAAGGUGGAUUUAGUAGUAAAAAGUAAACAGAGUGUCCUUUUGAACUAGGCUCUGAGACGCGCACACACCGCCCGUCACUCUCCCCAACUAAUAAUACAACAUCCAUAAUAACACAAAUAAUACUUCGGGGAGGCAAGUCGUAACAUGGUAAGUGUACCGGAAGGUGCACUUGGAAUAA
rnacentral:ncRNA from 1 species